GACGAACGCUGGCGGCGUGCCUAAUACAUGCAAGUAGAACGCUGAAGAGAGGAGCUUACUCUUCUUGGAUGAGUUGCGAACGGGUGAGUAACGCGUAGGUAACCUGCCUUGUAGCGGGGGAUAACUAUUGGAAACGAUAGCUAAUACCGCAUAACAAUGGAUGACACAUGUCAUUUAUUUGAAAGGGGCAAUUGCUCCACUACAAGAUGGACCUGCGUUGUAUUAGCUAGGAGGUGAGGUAAUGGCUCACCUAGGCGACGAUACAUAGCCGACCUGAGAGGGUGAUCGGCCACACGGAGACUGAGACACGGCACAGACUCCUCCGGGAGGCAGCAGUAGGGAAUCUUCGGCAAUGGGGGCAACCCUGACCGAGAAACGCCGCGUGAGUGAAGAAGGUUUUCGGAUCGUAAAGCUCUGUUGUAAGUCAAGAACGGGUGUGGGAGUGGAAAGUUCACACUGUGACGGUAGCUUACCAGAAAGGGACGGCUAACUACGUG
rnacentral:rRNA from 1 species